CAGCUGCAAGAUCCCGCAUCUGGCUACCGGUGUGGAUGCCACCGCUCGGCGUGUUCUUGCUCUUCUUCCGACUGGUAGCGCUCCUGCCGAGAGUGCUGGUGGCUACGAGCUUGAGAAAAGCUGUGCUCCUUCUCAGUACGCAAUUGGCGAAGAAAUUGCCACUGCUUUUAAUGUCUAGAUAAGAAAACAGGGAGAAAACUCUGCAACAAUGCUCUAGAAUCAACCCACCAAUAACAGCUGAACCUUUCGCCCUC